UUUCCCCUCUAUUGAUCAUAUUUGUUGAAUGGGGCCCCAUAAAAUUAGGCUGAUAAAAGACAGAAGGAGAGAAGCAAAUUUAUUAACAUGUGCAUCAUGUGUAUGCAGGAGAAUGCUUGAUGCUUAUGUAGCUCCUGUUUCUUCUCAACAUUCACUAGCACACAUGAGCUCCUACUUUUUCUGCCUUCCGCAGAAUGCUGAUUUAGAGCUUUCUGAAUCUUUGUCACUUGAAUCACAGUUCCUAAGACCUGAAAUAAAGCCAUUUGGAUGGAUUCACUGUGAUAGGAAGCAGAGCACAGAUGGAGGGAGCCUUGGUAUCUGAGCCUUGGAAGAAUUUCACCUGCAGAGUUCUCCAACCAGCAUGAUACUGUUAAGUGGAUGAGAAAUAAAACAGUUGUGUAAAGUCA